CUCUUUGUGAAUAUGCAUCUCCCCAGGGAGAUUGAGCUUUUCAUCCCUGCAAAUGAAAAUAAAAAGUUCAUUUCAUGCAAAUUUUGUUAAAUUAAUGCCAAUUUUGUCAUGGUUAAAUGAUGAUGACACUAUUGAGGAGCCAAGGCCACAACCUUUAUGGGUAGCUAGCAAUCAAUAGAAGUCUCAAAGUAUAAAUGAAACUGACUGGUAGUCGCUCUUAAGCAUAGGUCAUUUAUACUGUGCUAUCACAUAAAUACAGAAAAAUUCACAUUGACAAACAAAUCUUCUGAUCCAUCUUUUUUAUUAAAUAACAUACCAAUCAGGUUGCAUGAAUAAUGCAAAUGUUGAUCAGUCAACACCAGAAGCCUCCUCUCCUUUAGGUGCCUGAGAAACAAACACCAGACUGUUCAAUAUUAGUACUCCAUACCAGCCUAACGACAAACCAGCAGAGCAAAGAAAAAGAUCGGAAAAAAGAUCCUUAUUUCCACCAGUUAGGCACAAUGCAACUUGCCUUGAUGUAGGUACUAAUAACUGAGUUUAUUUGCUGAUUUCAGACAGAAGAAUUUGUGCUCUACUUAUUAAGUUAAUUAUGUAACAUCUCUCACAAUUUCUCUUCAUAUUUGAAAAAUCACUAAUUUAAAACGUGUCUUACAUUUGGAACUUCAUUGAUUGCAUGAGGAAGAGACAGUUUUUAACUAAAAUUGCAUACAAAGGAAAACUUUGCUAUUGUCUCGUAGAACCACAAAUUGAAGGUCAUCUAGUUAUAGUUGAGAUCAAAGUAACAUUGUUGGGCUCUGUAGAACUGGUGUACUGCACAUAACAUGCUACAAUACAAGAGAACCCAAAAAUUCUAUGAGAUCAAAUUCUAGGAAAUACCCGGACACAGUGAGGGGUUGCACAAAGAUAACCUCUUGACAGUAUUUCAGCAGUUUCUCCAAUUUGGUAUGUUAUCUCAUCUUCUCCAAAGACAACCAAAUGCAUAAGAAACAAACAGGUUCAUAGACCAUCCAAAAUUUACAUUUUUGGAAAAAGACAGUCUAAAGCAUAAAUAACAAUCAUCAUUCAAGCUGACUAAAUGGCCUGAACUUUGCAGAUGCAUCAUGUGAAGCGCCCAUUCAAUUUUAAUUUUUCAUCAGAAUUCUCACACACUGGCAAGGGGUUGGCAAAAGGUAGGUGUUCAAUUAAAAACAUUUAGUUCCAAAUAGAGGAAAAGCAAGACAGUGAUACUUUUUCAGAAGCAAAUGUAUCUCAUUCCUCAGUCUCACAGUGGGAAGUUUAUUGGGUGCUUUUGGUGCACUAAAAAAAUAGUGCACCGACCAUUCACAUAUAUGUGGGACCUUUAACAAAUAAUGAAAGUUGGAUCAUACAUUUUCGUGAAUGAUGGUGCAGUGGCAUCCGGAGUAUUUUAUAAUUUCACAUCUGACAGAAGGCACCCUGUCAAGCUACACAAAUCCUGUUACAUUUUUGUAUGCUCUAAUAAUUCACAGCUCUCAAGAUCAAAUGAAGAAGCUUGAUUUAAAAUUGCGUUUAUGAUCUGCAAUGGAUAAUUUUCUCAAGUUUCCUUUGAGGAGACUGUCAUGUAGCAGGGUUCUCAGUGAUUCCAAAGCUCCAGAACCUGAAGAAGGAGGAGGAAAGGAAGAGAAGCAGAGGGAAGAAACACAGCAGGGAAGGGGAAGAACGAGAGGAAGAAAAGAGGGAGAAGGGGAGAGAGAGAG
rnacentral:misc_RNA from 1 species